GACGAACGCUGGCGGCGUGCCUAAUACAUGCAAGUAGAACGCUGAAGGGAGAGCUUGCUCUUCUGGAUGAGUUGCGAGCGGGUGAGUAACGCGUAGGUAACCUGCCUGGUAGCGGGGGAUAACUAUUGGAAACGAUAGCUAAUACCGCAUAAGAGUAGAUGUUGCAUGACAUUUGCUUAAAAGGUGCAAUUGCAUCACUACCAGAUGGACCUGCGUUGUAUUAGCUAGUUGGUGGGGUAACGGCUCACCAAGGCGACGAUACAUAGCCGACCUGAGAGGGUGAUCGGCCACACUGGGACUGAGACACGGCCCAGACUCCUACGGGAGGCAGCAGUAGGGAAUCUUCGGCAAUGGACGGAAGUCUGACCGAGCAACGCCGCGUGAGUGAAGAAGGUUUUCGGAUCGUAAAGCUCUGUUGUAAGAGAAGAACGAGUGUGAGAGUGGAAAGUUCACACUG
rnacentral:rRNA from 1 species